AUGAGCUGCAAGCACGUGUAUGAAUCUAAUGGUCUCUUAAGAUAAACGAAGAAACAGACAGCUCACCAAUUUUGGUAUGCCUUUUAGCGUAAGUUUGGAGGAGGAUGUAGCUCUGAGUGUGCGAUUGUAGUGUCCUUUUAAGGACCUCCGACUUUUAUCUAAGUUGGAACGUGUCCAAGUUUAAGGAGGAAUGUCUGUAUGAAAUGGUUCACUUGUCAUUAAAACGUUGUAAGGAUAAACCGACGACAACCACUUACCAGAGUUUGCUUUGCUAAUUUUAGCGAAGGACCAUCGCACGUUUACUAAGGUUGACUGGCAAAGGGGAUUUGGACGGAGGAGGCAGAAAACUGAAACGUCAAGAAUAUUAAGAAACUCAUAAUGCCUAUCACCAACUAAAGACAAACUCCGCGCAUUUUAUAAGAAGCUUCCGCGUUGACAGUUAUAUUUGCAGUUUGUGCCAUCAUUUGGAAUAUAUCAGAAAAAUAAGUGCUGUAUUUGUACUGACUCGCAGUAAGUAAUGAACGAGUGGGAGGAACCUAUCGGGCUGAACAAGCCGAGAAACCAAACCCAGGUACACUUCUGUACAUUUGAUUGACUAGGGCGAUUUGGACAGAGAGAGCAGAAAAUUGAAACCUUGAGAAUGGUUAAAGCUUAUAAUGUCAAUCACUCUGUAAGGACACAUUCCGUGCAUUUUCUGAGAAGUUUCUGCAUUGACAGUUACAUUAAAUUACAGUUUCUAUCUUCAUUUGGAAUAUAUCGGAAAAGUAAGUGUUACAUUCGCGUUGACUUGCAGUAGUCUGUAAUGAAAGAGUGGGAGGAACCCAGGUAUACUUUACAUACUAAACCAUAAAACUAGCAACACCCCUCUUUAAUCUGAGGAACUGCAUCAUUGUAAGAUAAGGAGCUAACCGGGUGAUAUUACUUUGCUUCACGAGAAUCCUUGUCCGAUAGCAAACUGCAGCGAUCAAAUCAGUUCCCUCACUAAGUUCACAGCAAAAAUUACUCUACACGUCUUUUGUUUUCAGAAUUGUAACCACAUGUUUCUUUCUAAUAUGGACUGGCAAUAUGUACAUCAUUCCUCUACACCGUUUGAUCGUUAGUCAAAACAGCCAUUUUUUCGCGCUCAAUCUUUUCGGUGUUACUUCUGCGGACGAAAUGAAACUACUCUGCAUUUGCAAGUAGUUGGGGGUGUAGAAAUGGAGAACAUGUUUUUUUACAGCCAAAUUUUACAUCAGUGUUUCCACUGAAGUUACCAACGAAAAUUGAGAACAUUAGGCAAAGCGAAUUAUGUUCUCCAAGACACAUUAUGGAUUGUUUAAGCUGAGAAAAAUAAACAUUUCACAUCAAAACCUUUCGCAAGGAAUCUUUCUUUUCUGCCGAAUAGACAUAUUUAAGCUUGCGGUAGACGUUUGUUUGCCACCUUUUGGUAAGAUUAGAAUGACUAAUUUUAAGUUUGACGGUCUUGAUUUCGCCUUUCCAGUACGAACUAAGCAGAACUUUCGCAUGUUCUUGCAAUAGUAGAUCUUGAGCCUCCGACUUCAAAUCCCCAUU